ensembl:lncRNA
AAAUAAUUUCCUCUGUCACUGCAUGCAUCACACAGGGGAAUGUCAAUACGGAUUGGUAAAUGUCAGCUGUGCUGAGCAAUAUAAUUACAUGCUUGCAUUGAGAAGCUAACACCUUGCUGCAGAAUGCUAGCAGGAAUCUGUGAGGAGUCAGGUCCUGUAAACCAGCCAUCAUCAGCAACAUCACGUAAUGAAGUCCUAGAACUGCAGGCUUCUCUGCUUCAGUGCUCUUGGGAGAGGUGAAUGGAAAACACUUGAAAGAAACCUGCUGCAAGCAGUGAGGGAGUUUGUCAUAUAUGGAAUGAAAAGAAGUGCUGUGUCUGAACUGCCAUGCACAGAAAAAAGGAAAUAUUUCAGCACUGGUUCACCAGGAGGCCAGCUGGUUGUCAGCAUAAGAAAAAAGUCCUCCUAGGAAAUGCACUCUUCCCACCAAGGAUGGCAUGAAAAUGGCCAUAAUUGCUGGCAGGAUGAAGCUAUGUCAUUUGAACUUUAGAGGGAUACAAGCAUUUCAAAUGUUUGAAUGCAGCCAUGGUGGCAAAAUGAAGGGAAGAGAGGAAGAAGGCUACGUGCUUGACACUGAGUUCACACCAUUCUAGGUAAAAGCAAGAAGAGACACAGAUUUAUCCAUUUUUGAUUUGCAGGUUGAACCUUGCUGUUGAUCAAAGUGCAUUUACUUGUUUUUAGUAUUGUAAGCUUCUUUCCCUUGCCUUGUUACCAUGUUCAACUACUUAUUUUAAUUGCAAGGAAAAGAAAGCCGCUGAUCUGCAUAAAGGUUAUAAGGAAAUGUGCACAAAUGUGCAAAAACUCAAGUGUUUACAUGAACCAGUUAAAUAGCUCCCCAUGUCCUUAAUGAGCAAGCACGGGAAUUCAAUUAACUGAUAUUUUAUUUGUUAAAUGAACUGACCUUUAUCCAGUGCAAUCUAUAAAAUUAAUUUGGCACUCUGUAAUCCUUGCAGAUUGGCAAUCCAAAAAAAAAAAAAAAAAAAAAAAAAAAAGCACAGCAGGCACUUCAAUACCCUUUAACCUAUAAAAACGUGCCGUGCCCCAUCGUAGUUCACAAUCCACAAAAUUGUACCAGCAUUUGCAAUUGAUUACAAAUUACAACCACCAUGUGUGGCAUAGACAUUAACUGUUAUGGCACCUCAAUUUCCCUUGACCUUAGUCCCAUAUUGCUUAGGAGAGGGCACUUUUCAUUUGUGUGAAAUGGUGAAAGAAUCUUUCUGCAACAGAGAAAUUUAGCUUCCAAAGUGCUUCUCUCUAGUCUUGUUGAUGUUGUGUCCUGGUGUGAACUUUGUAGUCCCAUGCAGUGUUGGUAACAUUUGCAUCUAUGUGCUUCUGAAUCAAGUGCUGCUUUUCCUUCAGCUUUGUGAACAGGCACGGCCACGCCAAUUGUUGAAAGUGUAUUUGAAUUUGUUUGCAGUGGUGUGGUUUGUAAGCAGGGUUUAGCCUUCAAUGGAGAAAGAAAAGACAGAACCCCUCAAAAUACAAGUUGUCAAAAGCAUCCUCAUGAUUGCUUUGUCACUGGCAAAGUCAAAGAAAUAUCAGAUAUUGUAGCACAGAUUUCUUACAAUUUGCAGGGAUGCUCAUGCUGUUUCCUAAAUCCAUGAUACUACUUAAUAUGCCUCUUUUGUGUGAGCACAGUUUAUAUGCAUCAGAGUUCUGAGCAUUGUUAACUUUUCAUCAACUGCAAUAAAAUAAGUAUUUGCCAUU